rnacentral:lncRNA from 1 species
GGAGGUAAAGCCCCCCAAACUGUGUCUCUAUACUCACCUGAGACUGCAGCCCCCAGGAGUUUCUCACUCUUGUGCUAAUCCAUGCUCAGCCUCUAGCAACUCAUCAAAGCCACCAUAGAAAUGUACCUACCAGUUUACAGCUUCAGUGGCUUUUACUCCAGAUAAGCAGGUCUUGGCUGUGACUCUAUUCAUUUAUCUUUUUAGAUGUUAGGGUGGAGGUUUACUUUGUGGCACAGUUGUAUGAUGGGUCCAAGAAAAGCCAUUAUUUUCAGAUUCAUUUUUUUUUUCUUGUUUUAAGGACAGGCGUGACAACAUCCAAGCUCUUUUCAUCUUUUCAUGUAGGAGCCAAAACCAAAAGUCUUGGGAAAAUUUUUUUCUUUAACAUAAGCAUUCCUGAAAAAUAAGUUACUUGACAGGUCCAAUAUCCGGCUGGAGUCUUCUACUGGCUUGAAGCAAGCAAGAGUUCUGAGUGUUUUUGUCCAGAAAAACUUGGCUUGAGAUAACUUUUGGCAGUGCUCAAAGUUGAGUAACUAGGACAUAAAAGCAGGGCUGCUCAAAAGACAGCCAAUGAGCCCAGCCUCCUGCCUUGGGCAAUGUAUGUCCUAGUCAGAGUCCUUCUCAAGAAUUCAUGUCAUCAGAAGGGGGCUUAACUCAAGGGUUUGGACAGUGGCUCCAUCUCAGAAGCAUACAGGUAUUUAACACUUCAUUUCCCCUCCAUUGUUCCCUCUUCUCCCACUGGGCAACCCAGUAUAGUUCCCUGGAGUGAGGAGGGAAAGGGGCCCUCAGACUCACUAUGUAGCCUCAAAGUCUUUUGCCCUAUUAUGUACAUUGACUUUUACAAUUAAAAAGCUUAGAGUAUGAAUUUUAAAUUAUGUAAUUGUACUGUAACAACAUUUUUUUUGAGGCAGUGAAUAUCUCAUGGCCUAUUUUGCAUGUUAAGAGCCACAGGGUCAUAAAUAAAGCCUUACUGGGAGCUUGGGAGCA